AUUUAUAUUGAGUGAUUACGAAAAAGUCUCUCCUCAUAAGAGUUUCGUCAUUGAAGAAGCUUCUUUCAUCAGCCGAUGAUGGGUUCAAGUGCUGCUUUCGUUUGGAGGAUUUUACCUUUGUGAAUCUAUAGUUGUAAGCCUAGCGAAAGUUAAAUCGGUGAAAGAGUUGGUUGUAUCCUCUUCCUUGCGGUUGACGAGGCAAGUCCUAAACCGACGCAAAUCUUGGAGUUAGAGUGGAUACUCCCUGUGAGUGGAUGCAUCAAGAUUAAUAUUAUUCCUCGCUUAGGAACCUAAGGUAUGCUAGAGUAGGGGACAUUUUCGGGAUCAUGUGGGGCGUCCUAUAAGGUGCUUUUCUUCUUUCGAGGGAAUUACAACUAAUUAUGAUGCGGAAUUCGUAGCCUUUUUUGCAGCGAUUCAAAUUGCUAAUGACCCCAAUUAUCAUGGAUUGAGUUUGAAUACGAUUCCCAAGCAGUUGUCUAGUGUAUUCAAAAGCAGAUUAUUAUAUGGAAUUUUAGGCAAAAUUGGUUGUCCUUGUUGAGAUAUUUGAAUAACACUCGAGGGAGUAAUCUUCACUGCUUUAGAGAGAUUAAUAUGGUUGCGGAUAGCCUAGCGAAGCAUUCUAUAGCAACAAGAUCGUUGACUAUAUGGAAUGAUGCUCCCAGAUUCACAUACAAUGAUAUUGAUUGGGAUGCCACUAAGAGACCACGAUUCAGAUUCAAGUGAUAUGCUGAUUCUCCUCCUCUGUUGAUGGCAAUGGCGAAGGUAGAGCAGGAGGCUAGGUCAAAGUUCUCUAGUCCAGGUCUCUUCUUUUGUUGGAGGCAAUGGCGAAGAUGGAAAGGAUAUUUGGUUUUUGUUUUUUGUGUGCCAAGUCGAUAUCUCUGUACUCUAUUCUUUCGAAUUAAUUUAUUCUUUUUGA